rnacentral:rRNA from 1 species
UACGGAGGGUGCAAGCGUUAUCCGGAUUCACUGGGUUUAAAGGGUGCGUAGGCGGGUUGGUAAGUCCGUGGUGAAAUCUCCAAGCUUAACUUGGAAACUGCCGUGGAUACUAUCAAUCUUGAAUAUCGUGGAGGUAAGCGGAGUAUGUCAUGUAGCGGUGAAAUGCUUAGAUAUGACAUAGAACACCAAUUGCGUAGGCAGCUUACUACACGAUCAUUGACGCUGAGGCACGAAAGCGUGGGGAGCAAACAGG